AGUUCGGGGGCGUUGCUGUGAGAUCCGUGUGCAGAAUUCAGUCUUGCUAUGGAGCAUUUUGAAGCUACACUAUGGAGAAACGUUUAGAGAAAUGAAACUUGAUGACCGAACAAGCAAAGGGAUCUGUGUUAUCGGCGUGACAGCGACAAGUCUGAUGAUGACGUAUCAGAGGAAGACAGCGACACGUCGUUUGACUACGAGGCAGACGCCAUGUUUCAGGAAGGACGAGACAUUACUCUUGACAAGUCCAUCGAGGUUCAUGGGUGCUGACAUCCUGAUAGGGCACUACAAAGUCCUCCACAAGCCUCCUCCUGCAGUCGUGACUGCUACAAUGGCUGGCAUGUAUCCAAAAAUUUGAAAGAUGUAUAUUUGAAUAAAUUUUUAACCAUA